AUUGAACGCUAGCGGGAUGCCUUACACAUGCAAGUCGAACGGAGUGGCGAACGGGUGAGUAAUGUAACGGAACGUGCCCAGUAGCGGGGGAUAACUACGCGAAAGCGUAACUAAUACCGCCUACUAUUGGAGCGGCCGAUAUCGGAUUAGCUAGUUGGUGGGUGAACGGCUCACCAAGGCGACGAUCCGUAGCCGGUUUGAGAGGACGACCAGCCACACUGGAACUGAGACACGGUCCAGACUCCUACGGGAGGCAGCAGUGGGGAAUAUUGGACAAUGGGGGCAACCCUGAUCCAGCCAUCCCGCGUGUACGAAGAAGGCCUUCGGGUUGUAAAGCACUUUUAGCAAGGAGGCGGUACCUGCAGAAUAAGCACCGGCUAACUCCGUGCCAGCAGCCGCGGUAAUAC
rnacentral:rRNA from 1 species